rnacentral:lncRNA from 1 species
GUUUAUAAUCUUGCUUAUUUCAAGGCCAGUGCUUGUUUAGCUGCUAGAGAAAAAGAAAAACUUGUGGCAGUGAGAGCACAGUUCAUUCUACCGUUUGAGAAGUGCUGUCCUAAAGAAGAGAGGAAAAAGGCAAUGUGAGGAGCUGGGGUCUGUGAGUGACUGUGUGGAGCACAGCUGCCCCAUCAACCAGGACUACAUGGCUCAGACUUCCAUGAGAAAUGAUCCUCAAUUUUCUCUAAGCUACUGCUUUAUUGCAGGUCUCUUUGUUGAAGCAAUGUAGUGUCACUCUACCUAACUCAGCAUCUGUUGUACAGCUCACACCUGUGCACAAGAGAUCUGAGCAAGGCUCUUGCAGCAUUGUUUCUAUUAGCAAAACCCUGGAAAAUACCUGAAUAUUCACCAAGAAGGGGAAGGGUCAAAUAAACCUCACUAUGCUCAUGCUAUGAAAUACUGACCUGUAGUUAACAACACUCUCCCAACAUUCUCCCACGCUUAGUUAUGUGAAGAAAGUAAGUUGCAUGAUAAACAGCUGGCAUGAUAAACUGUCUAUUGUGUGUGUACAUAUAUGCAGGUAAAUAUGCAGAAAAAUGUCAGGACAGAUGUUCUCAGAAAGGGGGGUGUGAUUGGGAGGGGCCAGACAGUGACUAAACGGGGUUUUUAUUUUAUUCGUAUUUGUUUAAUAUUUUAAAAUGAGAUUAUAUUCAUGUUUUGUUUGUGUAAUUAAAAAUGAAUAUAAAAUAGACAAUAGUCUUUUUUUUUUCUGAGACAUAGUCUCAUUCUGCCACUCAGGAUGGAGUGCAGUGGUGCAGUCAUAGCUCACUGCAACCUCUGCCUCUCAGGCUCAAGUGAUCCUCCU